AUUGAACGCUGGCGGCAGGCCUAACACAUGCAAGUCGAGCGAGCGGCGGACGGGUGAGUAAUGUCUGGGGAUCUGCCCGAUAGAGGGGGAUAACUACUGGAAACGGUGGCUAAUACCGCAUACUAUCGGAUGAACCCAUAUGGGAUUAGCUAGUAGGUGGGGUAAAGGCUCACCUAGGCGACGAUCCCUAGCUGGUCUGAGAGGAUGACCAUCCACACUGGGACGGGGACACGGGCCAGACUCCUACGGGAGGCAGCAGUGGGGAAUAUUGCACAAGGGGCGCAAGCCUGAUGCAGGCAUGCCGCGUGUAUGAAGAAGGCCUUAGGGGUGUAAAGUACUUUCAGCGGGGAGGCGUUACCCGCAGAAGAAGCACCGGCUAACUCCGUGCCAGCAGCCGCGGUAAUUC
rnacentral:rRNA from 1 species